UACAGAGGGGGCAAGCGUUGUUCGGAAUUACUGGGCGUAAAGGGCGCGUAGGCGGCCCGCUAAGUCGAACGUGAAAUCCCCGGGCUCAACCCGGGAACUGCGUCCGAUACUGGCAGGCUUGAAUCCGGGAGAGGGAUGCGGAAUUCCAGGUGUAGCGGUGAAAUGCGUAGAUAUCUGGAGGAACACCGGUGGCGAAGGCGGCAUCCUGGACCGGUAUUGACGCUGAGGCGCGAAAGCCAGGGGAGCAAACGGG
rnacentral:rRNA from 1 species